CCGCCCCUGGUGUGUGGGAUGGUGUCACGUCAGCGCUGAACCCAGCCUGUGAUAAACGAAAUUUGGUUUCACACUCCCCUAGUUGUGAGACGGUUGGGCUGCACGAUGGAGUGUCUAAAAACAGUAAAAAGUUUGGCCUUUGCGUUGUAUGGGUACUACAAGGCGGUGAAGGCCAACCAGAAGCGCUGUGGUCGGCUGGUAGAGAGAGUCAAGGUCAUAGAGGGGUUUGUGGAUGCCGUGAUGGAUACGAAUCUGGACAACCCCCUUGUAAGAAGUGCCCUGACGAAACUCAAGGAGAUCCUGACUACUGCAGUGGAGCUAGUGGAGGAACAUGGCAAACAAGACUGGUUGCUGCAGGCGAUGAAAGCCAACGGCGUGAAGAGUCAGUUUGAUGACCUGAACGACCGGCUGAGUGAAGUGUCGGGCCAGCUGUCUCUCUCCCUGCAGCUGGAGCAGCUGAAGCAGCUGGAGAAGCAACGUGAAGCGUUUGAAGCCAAGCGGAGGGAGGAAGAGGACCAGCGUGACGCAGCAGACGACCGGCUGGAGUGGCAAAGAGUACUAGAGGGGAUGAAUAUCAUCCAAAGAGGCGUGAACGACCUACAAAGUGGCCAGAACAACCUACAAAGUGGCCAGAUCAACCUACAAUGUGGCCAGAUCGACCUAAAAAGUGGCCAGAUCGAACUACAAAAUAGCGUGGACUACCUUACAAACAUCAUUCAGGGUAAGUGUCUAACCUACAGUGUUGCCUGCACUAGAGAUGUUAAAUGAAACCGUGCACAAUAUCCAGAGAGAUGUGAACGACCUACAAAGUGGCGUUUCUGACAUUAAAAACUUAAUAUAAUCAAAACAGGGUAAGUGUA
ensembl:lncRNA